rnacentral:rRNA from 1 species
GAAAACUCCGGUGGUAAUGGAUGGGCAUGCGUUGUAUUAGUUAGUUGGUGGGGUAACGGCUCACCAAGACGACGAUACAUAGGGGGACUGAGAGGUUAACCCCCCACAUUGGUACUGAGACACGGACCAAACUCCUACGGGAGGCAGCAGUGAGGAAUAUUGGUCAAUGGACGCAAGUCUGAACCAGCCAUGCCGCGUGCAGGAAGACGGCUCUAUGAGUUGUAAACUGCUUUUGUACGAGGGUAAACGCAGAUACGCGUAUCUGUCUGAAAGUAUCGUACGAAUAAGGAUCGGCUAACUCCGUGCCAGCAGCCGCGGUAAUACGGAGGAUUCAAGCGUUGUCCGGAUUUAUUGGGUUUAAAGGGUGCGUAGGCGGUCGGAUAAGUUAGAGGUGAAAUCCCGGGGCUCAACUUCGGAAUUGCCUCUGAUACUGUUCGGCUAGAGAGUAGUUGCGGUAGGCGGAAUGUAUGGUGUAGCGGUGAAAUGCUUAGAGAUCAUACAGAACACCGAUUGCGAAGGCAGCUUACCAAGCUACUUCUGACGUUGAGGCACGAAAGCGUGGGGAGCAAACAGGAUUAGAUACCCUGGUAGUCCACGCAGUAAACGAUGAUAACUCGUUGUCGGCGAUACAGUGUCG